rnacentral:rRNA from 1 species
UACGUAGGGGGCUAGCGUUGUCCGGAAUCAUUGGGCGUAAAGAGCGCGUAGGCGGCCAGAUAAGUCCGGUGUGAAAGUCACAGGCUCAACCUGUGAAUGCCGCUGGAAACUGUCUGGCUAGAGUCCGGGAGGGGCGAGUGGAAAUUCCUGGUGCAGCGGUGAAAUGCGCAGAUAUCAGGAAGAACACCAAUGGCGAAGGCAGCUCUCUGGGACGGUACUGACGCUGAGACGCGAAAGCAUGGGGAGCGAACAGGG